rfam:Thioalkalivibrio sp. K90mix, complete genome.
ACGGGGAUUCGAACCCGAGGAAUAGAGAAUGAUGGUUCGACGGGUGACGCGCAGCGGCACCCGAACGUCACCGCAGGUGACGACCCGAAGGGCGAGGCUCACAGCGCCAAGUAAUCCCUCCCUCUCCGCCA